GACGAACGCUGGCGGCGUGCCUAAUACAUGCAAGUCGAGCGCAGGAAACUGACGGAACUCUUCGGAGGGAAGGCAGUGGAAUGAGCGGCGGACGGGUGAGUAACACGUAAGGAACCUGCCUCAAGGAUUGGGAUAACUCCGAGAAAUCGGAGCUAAUACCGGAUAGUUCAACGGACCGCAUGGUCCGCUGAUGAAAGGCGCUCCGGCGUCACCUUGAGAUGGCCUUGCGGUGCAUUAGCUAGUUGGUGGGGUAACGGCCCACCAAGGCGACGAUGCAGAGCCGACCUGGAAGGGUGAUCGGCCACACUGGGACUGAGACACGGCCCAGACUCCCACGGGAGGCAGCAGUAGGGAAUCUUCCACAAUGGACGAAAGUCUGAUGGAGCAACGCCGCGUGAGUGAUGAAGGUUUUCGGAUCGUAAAACUCUGUUGUAAGGGAAGAACACGUACGAGAGGAAAUGCUCGUACCUUGACGGUACCUUACGAGAAAGCCACGGCUAACUACGUGCCAGCAGCCGCCGUAACAC
rnacentral:rRNA from 1 species